CCUCCCCCCAUAUCAACACAGCUUCUCGCGGUAGGCGUCUUCUCCUCUAUCUCUCGUUGCAGGAUCCCUAUCUUGAGCAGAUCGAUCACGACCCGCCCUCCCUCCUGAAUCUCAUGGCUGGCCCCGUCGAUUCCAGCAUUCAGGUGAGCGCACAAGAGGCGUGUCUUGUUCAGCAACAGGGGCGGAGAAAGUAGAUCAAUCCCCACCCCUGAUUAAACACAUGAAUUUUGGGGGCCCUUCAGAUAGGGGGAGUUGCUUCGAAUUCUUCUUCUAUAAGAUUUAGCCGAACAUAACAGGUGGCUUAGAUCUGGUAACUGUUGGGGUGUCAGGUGUGGACGCCUGCAGUAUUUUAAUAUAGUUCUGCACCAUUGCUUCCUUGCAGAUAUGUCACAGAUAAGAAUUAGCGUUCUUGAAUCCAACAAAGAAUAUAUGAUGGAAGAACCGACCGAACAUCAAUUCUGCUGAAAAAGAUGUCGAAUCAUUUGAUGUCAAUGAAAGAACUACUAAUGAUGAAGAAGGCUUCACAGAUUGUGAUGAUGUUGACCUGGAUGAAAAUGAAGAUGCUGAAAAUGCAUAAACAAAAGAGCGUUAGAAGAGGAAGCUGAAAUAUAUUUGGAACCUUCCAAAAGGGAAAAGGAUAAUGGUUCACUACAAUGACCUAGAUCAGCCAAUUGGAAAAGAGGUAAACAUCUUCGGGACUUUCUUGGCCCGGUUGCAAGGAAUGGAUCAUUGUGUUGCUUCAGCUACAAGGAUCAGAGAUUUCUCAAAACUGAAAUAAACCUAAAAGCAAUAAUAGAUCAAGUAAAGGUAAAUUUUAACCCACUCAAUAUCCUUUUACUAGCUUGUUCUAUGUUGCCUUACAUUGCAUUCACCCUACUUAUAUUGCACUUGUGAAAACUGAACUUUUGGUACAGAGUCGUAAAAACUGCAAUACUCUAGGUAAUGUAGAGAAAACAAAGAUUGCAUGGCCUUCAAACUUUGUACGUGACUAAUAUCCUGCCUCUAUUACUACUUGCAUCAUGUCAAUGCAUUGUGUGUUAACAGUUUAUCUUGUUUUCUUGUUUGUAGAUUCAAAAGAUAAAUUGAUGAGUAUAUGGGUCUAUGGCAAGUAUACUGCAAUGAUGGUGUCGAUGUCAUGUUUCAUGAUGAUGAUGGAUGCUUUUAGUUUUAGUUAUGUUGUACGGAUGACGUUCCUGCUAAAUGUUGUUCCCAGGUUAAGUUUUAGUUAUGUUGUACAGAUGAUGUUCCUGCUGGAUGGUGUUCCUUAAGUUUUAGUUAAGUUGCAGGGAUGUUGAUGGAUUCUUUCAGUUUAAGUUUCACUCUGAGAUUAUGCAUCACAUUUGGAUGAUGUUACUAUCCACUAUUGUAAUCCAACAGUUUUAUCUAAUAUACGAU